rnacentral:lncRNA from 1 species
CGCCGAGAAACAAAACACCCAAGUAAGAACAUAACCUCAUGGUCGUGCAAAAACUUGCGGUGUCACGGAUGAAGAACGAGGAUGAACUCUGGUCAAUCCUCCCGUCGAACACAUGGCGUGCGUCGUGGACAUUGGACUGCUCCGGCGUGCUGCUGCUCGCAUAGAGACAAGGAGGGAUGCUGCUGGGGAAGAAAUAGAAGCAGUGAAGGCGAAGUCGCCAUGGGGAGAGGAGUAGAGACGACAGCCUUCGGAGUUCGGACAUGGGGCGAGCUUGGCAUGGGAUCUGCCACCAUGGGGAAGAGACCUGGGCGCCCAUGGAGAGGAGCGUGACUAGCAAAGAACCAAGAGGGAGAGGGCUAGGGCAAACUCGACUGGGACACCAUGGGAGGAACAGGAGCAGGGAGUACGGGCGACCGGUGCCUAGAGGUUGAGGACCGACGCCAUGGGAAACUGGAGCACGCCACAAACAGAGAGGGGCUAGGCGAGCUGGGACUGGACGCCAUGGCUGCUUGCCGCUGCUGGCAUGGGGAGAAACCAGGGAGCAGAGAGGGGCAGCCAUGAGGGGGCUGGGAACCUGGCUCGGGGCUUUGACGCCAUGGGAGGGGUAGGGAGAGGAGUGCCCAAGUGGUGGCUGCCGCAGGGAUGAACGCCAGGGAAGAGGAUGGCGUGAGGGAGUUCGGUUGGAGCUUGAGGAAGAGAUGAGGAUGAAGGAGAAAUGACGUGUGUAGCUUCUAGGAAAUAAUGGGCAGCGUGGAUAAGAAGGAGAGGAGCUUGAGCGGUGGAGAAGAUAAGAGAAAAAUUCAGAUUUUUUCCUUCUCCAAUCUUUAACCAAAAGAAUACCCAAAUAAGUGAAAAAAUCUGGGAUUUGAAUCCGGGCGAGAUGCAAACAGACCCAUCAAAACAAUAUAAAUUUUAAUAUUUUUGGACUACGCUAACACUGUUAGGUAUUUUCGGGAUCAGGCAAAUUUUCACAGUUGUAGACAGUGGAACAGAUUAAUUACGAGUACUCAUUUCGGUUCUAGUUAUCUCGGUCCGAUUUAAUUUUUGCAGCACUUCUAUCGUGAAGUUCUAGUAAUAUUUACUUGGGCAAAAAUACAAGAGUGGAUCGGGAUUCCAAAUUCAUGUUCUCUUAAUCCAUAAAUUCUAAACAAACACCAGGCUCGACAUUUCGCGAAAUAAAUACGCGAGAUCGAUCCGGCAUCGAAAUUGUGAUCCCUUCGGAAGCGAAGUCACACAUCGUUCACGUGGGCGAGAGGCUGUGCGCUGUCUAGACACCGCUUAACACCAGCCACGCGCCACGAUGCCAGGCCACAGAGAGACACGGGCAACAUAAGCGUGAAAGGAUUUCAAAUGAAGUUUAAGAAACCAGAUCCGAUUUCCAGAAUUAAAGUUUGGGCAAGACGUUGAUGGCUUAACCCAAACGAUACUGGAGUCGAUGUUCCGAAAUUACUAAAGUCUGAAUUUUGCAAAAUAAAUUAGGACAAUUUAGACAGAUGGAGACAGACACGAUAUCAAAAUCGUGAUAGACGAGGAUGAUUAAAAUUUAGUGACCUUUACAUUCACAGCUAUCACGUGUUAACGUCCGCACUCGUGGUCGAGUAGAUGAUAAACACCUGGGGUGUUACAACCUUCCCCCUUAAAAGAAUCUCGUCCCGAGAUUCAGAACGAAAGACUUCUAAGAGUAGAGAGGCAUAUAACCCUGUCCAUAAUAGUGACAGCAUAAGCUAAUUCCAAGCAAAGACGAGCAUCUCAAAAUGUUGCUUCUCUAGUGGGUAUAGCACAUACCAUUUUAGUUCAACUAGAGACGUCAAUAAACAAGCUAUAACUGACAAAAGAACACAUAAGGUUCCAUGUGUGCAGUUUACUUUUUCUGAUGACACGGUACUAUCUGAGUCUAUUGAAAACGGUGGACAAAUGGAUAGCAAUUCCUAGCACAUGAGACGAGUGUGGAUGUCAAACAACAUCACAAUUAACUCGUGGUUAGCCAGGGAAUCCAAGUCCAAGAAAAAUGAUAGAGAUUCAAGGAAUGUAGGGAUCUGUAGAUGUUGACCUUGUGUCCAAUCCAUUUUAUCAAGCACUAAGCAUGGCUCGGCUUGAUCACACAUGUUAGAAAAUCACAUGUGAGGCGAUUGAGACACAACUAGAACUGUGGUCGGGCUAUUACCAGUUAGCUGAGGAUGGCAAAAUACCUCGGACAACAAUGUCGAGUUAAGAUGCAUAUGCUCAUAAUCUAAUCCAAUAUGGCCCAAGACCUGCGCAUAUGUUCAUAACCUUCACUUGGUCUUCAUAAAGGUUUCUUCAGGAUAGGCUGAACUAAAGUGAGUUUAGACAACUCGAUAAAACGAUCUCUAAACUCAACCUUUGUUCAUUGGGCAGUUACAAGUUAGUAAAACCAACUUGUUGAACUACUUUUGACAUUGAGCAAGUCCUCUUAUUACCCGUCGGCAAACCAGAGGUUGGGAGUUUACAUUUACGAGUACGAGGGCAUGCAUUUGGAUAAGGAUUCAGUUGAUCAGAUUAUUUAUUCAUCUCCUCCACACGAGACAAAAUAACAUGUGUAUUAGAUGUAUGAAUCCAAUAAGGAGGCGAAUGAACAAACUCCUGCAUUUAGCAGCAAGGGAAGUCAAUCUCCAUUUUGAGAACUAAUCAGUUGUCACCCAACACUAAAAAGCUUCAAGGCUUCACCUUUGUAGAAAGGGUAGCGGAGGGAAGCUGUAUAUGGGUAGUCACCACCAAAAUCAAGAAAAAUGAGACUACACCGAUAAGAAUGGUUACAGGUAGAAAGCCAAAUAGGUCCUGGCCCGAUGAAAGGAACACGAGAUUGCCAAAACCUAAAAUGGUUGAUGAGGGAGUACGAUGGAAGACUAUUAUUUCAGCCCCAAGCAUAUUUCUAUGCCCAUCGCAGAAAUUUCAAGGUCAAGGAUGAGCAUCUAAUUAGAUACAGAGAGGUAAUGAUCAUAAAAUUAAACUGAUAAGUCUUCGAGAGAUAUGAGGAAACCAAAGGCAUUGAACUCAAGGAAAUGAUCGGACAUGUCUUUCCUGGGUUAGGUUGAUAAAAUAACGACAUGGUCCCCAAGAAGAUACAGAGUGGAAUAGAAACAUCAGCUUGCACCAAGCGAGUAAAGGCAUGAUUUUGGAUGAAAAAAAUGACUACAAAAGAGUCACGUUUUAAACAACGAGAACACGUACUCGAGAUCCUUGUUUUAAGCUCAGGUGCAUUUAUUUUCUACGAUAAGAUUACCUAAACACCAAUUUAGAUAAACUUGGUCCUAAAGUAACGAUGGAAAUUUAAACUCGUCCACUUUUGGAAACUGGGGAAAAACUUUGGGAAAUUAACAUCGAUUUGGGUCAUGGCUCCUAGAUGAGGACAUGGCCAAAUUUUAGGUUUAUGCAAACAAGUCACCAAUAUUCUAUCGGCACACAGGCACAAAAAUAAACAUAAGUUGCACUAUCAGUCAAACUAAGAAGAACCACAGACCACAUAAACACAUGUCUAAAGGACACAUCAAACAAAGCUAGAAAUUGCUUAUAGAACAGUAAUACUUCAUACAGUUUCCAAUUAUUUAUUAUCGGGAUAAAGAUGAGAAAAGCAUGUUCGUUCACAAUCACCUAUUAUUAGAAUAAAGGUGAGGAAAGUAUUUCUGUGCGCAAACAACAAACACAAUGCAACAAUCGGGAUGCAUGCUCGUCCUAUUCGUCCUCACGAAUUUCGCCAACAUAAUAUGGCAAUAGCGUUCUAUAUCGGUGGCAUACUUACGACUCUCACGGUAUUUUGCUAGUCGUCAGCUAAACAUACGAGUUCGAAGUUAGUGUACCUGCAGAAAAUUUCAUCACAGCCCAUUUCCUAAUGAUGCAAUUCACACAUGACAGUUUAUCAUAGUUUAUACUCCAUAUAUUUCUAUAUGGAGGCCAGCUCCUCAUUAAGCGCCGAGCCACGCAUAGGCGCCGCUGCCACACUUUAACCAUAGGGCAGCUCAUUAUGGUAACUCACCUUCUUACCUGAGCGUAGGUGCGUCGUUGCAAAUACAUUACACUUCUCAGUAUUCCCAUGUCUGUAUACCCAUACACAUCCAUGGGGUACUGAAUCCCGAAAAAGUAAUUACUCCACAUCGCAGCCUUCAUAUAUACAUAUGUGUAACAUGUAUAUAAUCAAGCGCCACAAUUAAGCACUCCCCUAGACCGACGUUUGUCCGGUCACGCUCUCACAUCUCACCUUACCUGAGCGUCGAUCCAUUCAAGACUGAAUGGCCUCAAAAACAACAUUACACAUGUAUGCAUCACCCUUCCCAGGUUGUGGGUUAGUAUUCUGAACUAAGCCACCUAGUAGUCCUUAACUUAGGGCUUAUAGAGGAUGUCGCUAGCAUUAUAGUUUUUCAAAUAUGUUUUUCAAAACCAAACAAUGUGUUUAGUUGAAAAUAGAUUUUCCAAAACCAAAAUUUUGUUUUGAAAAUACGUAUGUGACCGUAUCAUACUUAAUCAAGCUCCGAUACCAGCUGUCGCAGAACCUCCCAAGUUAUCGGGCCCACAUGCACCUGUCCUUGUCUCAACGACCUCAGACGGCUAUGCAUGUGCACCAAACAACUUAACAGGAUCUGUCCGAGUGCCCCGAGGACCCCGGAUAAACGACUUACCGCCAAGAUCGCAGGAUUAAGUAAACACAACUCACAUACAAACACUUGCAGCGGAAAUAAAUUCUUUAUUACAAAAUGAUUACAUGUUACAAUAAUUUUACAUUAUACAAUUAUCGGAGUGAUUACAAGAGAAAAUGAUUCAAAAGAAUUACAAAUUUGAAAUGUUAUAAAAUAUUUGUAAAUUUGAAGAUACAUGCUAGCUUAAGUGACAAUCCUCAAUACUUAUAUAAGAAGGCCGAGCCCACCGGCACUUAGCACCAUCCACAACAGAACAAAAUUACAACCUGAAAAACAACAGGGAAUAAAACCCUGAGUACGCAAUUACUCAGCAAGACUUACCCGACUAAAGAAAAGACUCUCAAGGGUAUGCAGGUUUAUUGGGAAUCAAGGUAAAGCUUAUCAAAUUUCAAAGACUCAUUUUGCAGAAAAGCUUACUAGUAGUGGAUCCUUAUGCCAAACUUUUACUUCACAGAUUAAGUACUUUUCCUGAAUCUAGAUUUGCCUAAUCUAGAGCAUUCACUUGUCCUACACUAGCUUCGUUUUAGCAGCUUUAGUUUCACUUGUUAUCUACGAUGCAGGGCAGUGAUCCAGUCUUCAUAUCCGAGAAGUAACGGCGAUCCGAAUCGAUUAAUACUCAGCUGAGGAUCUCCAACCACACGACAUAUGUAGCACUUAACCCUUGCAUAUGUCAACUCGCCCACGGUUUUCUCAAGACCAGAACGGGUUCACGCGACCCGAGAGCACAACACUCCACCGUCCAGCCGUUGGCCUGGUUGGUACACGUUACUCUCGCCAUGGUGCCCGCCAUGUUUCCGAGAGUACAGCACCCCACCUUCCAGUCUCUUGCCACGGAGGGUACAAGCUACUCUCGCCAUCUCUCCACUCCCAGUGCGUGCGAGCUGUUCUGGUAUUGGUCCGACCGAGGCUAAGCUUACCCAUGACAAGGCAUGUGGCCAAUUAAAGGGUCCUAGAUCAGCAAGCCUACUUUCGGUACGGUCCUUAAUCGACACAGACGGGCGACCUUUCCUGCUCAACGUCUGGUCUCAUCUUAUUAUUUAACACCCAAAUCAUGUACCUGACAGAGGUACCAUACUUGAAUGAUGAAUUCAUCACUGCAGAUGAUGCGCUCACCAUUACAAGUCUCUUUUCAUAAAACAAACCCAUAACCAGUGUCACACAUCAUUCUUUUAAAAAGAAACAAGUUUUAAUUCUCUAGGCAGGGCUAAGCCUCAUUAGUUCUUUUUGUAAAACAGGUAUCAAGGAGGAUAAUCAAAUUCCAAGGAAUGGUAAUGCAUCAAUUGUUUAUUCACACAACUCCUAUCACCUAAUGCAGCAGGUAAGUGAUAAAAGUUUUUUAAAUAGAAGGAGGUGGCAAAUGCACCGGGGCUUGCCUGGGAUAAACACUAUGUUAGUGUUGUUAAUUGACGACCACUUGGUAAGUAUCUUCCAUUCUGGUGCUGGCUUGAUGCAUCAACAAGAUUAAUCCUCCAAUACCAUCUCAUGGUUCGCUCUGAUCCAUGUCCUUCAGCUCGCAUAAUCAUCUAGCGUACCUAUUGGAAAUGCAUAAUGCAUAUGAGCAUGGACAUGAAUAGCAUGAGAUAGAUGUUCUAUACUAAAGAGGGUAAACACUUAAAAGAAGUCAUCAUAACUCCUAUGAGCGCACUAGAUGUGAAGAUAUUACUAUGUACCACAAGCACAUCUUUUACACUUAAAUAGGCCUAACGCAAGUAUCAGGCACUCAUACACGCUUAUAAACACAAGACAAUCGAAUCAACUCAAUAAUACUAGAUAUAAAUGUCUACUAACCUUUUUCGCAUUAUUGAUUCACCAUACUCACACAAAACCUAAAUAGUCACUAAUUCAAAUUUACUCACCAAAGUAUUUACUUCAUUCCCAAUUACUAAAGUCUAAAUCAAACAGUAAGAAGGAAAUGAAUUAAUCAAGUAUAACCAGACAUUUCGAUAAACACUUCAUAUGCAACAAGUUGGUAUCAAUCAAGGACCAAGGAUUAACUAAUCCUUCCUAGGCAAACAAAAAUGACACCAAGAAAUCAGUUUAACACAUGCAGAUUUUCUAGACAGCAGCACAGCAGUUAACUGUUUUAUUCAUAACUCACAAAAUAUGCAUCCAAAAAUAGUAAACUAGGACUUUCUGGAAAGCUUAGAAAGUCCUCCACGAUUUUGGUAUUAUCAUCACAGUGAGAUUCAACAUAUAGAAAUGUCAAACAGUACUAAACGCAAUUUCUGUCCAGAUUUGGACAGAAUUCGGCCACUCACUUUAAAAUUCCGUAACUGGAGUUUCAGCCAUCCAAAUCAGGUGAUCCUAGACUUUUUAGAAAGCUAAUAUAAUUGUCUACAAUUCAUUUAUAAUCAUCUCAAGGUGAUUCAAUGUGUAUCAAAGUCAGUUAAUUCAAACACACAUUGUUGUCCAGAUUUUUGACAGAUUCAAACAUUACAUUUCAAACAGCCAUAACUUGAUUUCUAGACCACCAAAAGGGGUGAUCCAAGACUUUUUGGAAAGCCUAUAAAACGUACUAUAACUUCUUUAUAAUUACUAAGAGCUGAUCCUCAGUUUUACUUAAUCAAACAAUCCAAUUUUCGAAACCUAUAUAGAAUUUGGACAGAUUCUGAAACUGGACUUGGAAAAAUCACAACUCCUAAACUGCUAGUCCUAUGGUCAUGAAAUUUUAGCACAAGCAAGAUAAAGGAGUUAUCUAUAACUUUUCUAUAUAACAUUUUCACAGAAAAGAUGAUUUACUUUGCUAAACUAGCUUUAUAAUUAAAAUCGUACCUACAGCCCUAAACAGCAGGAAUUCUAGUUUAGUUCCUAUUUAAGUUAACCACACCUUACCAACUCUUUUAUCAAAGCAUCCAUUGCCUAAUUUGCAUCAUAAACCAAUCUUUAGAUCAAACAAUACUUUGGCUUCAUAAUACUAAUGCACCUAUUUCAUAACAUGAAACUAUACAAUACACCAUAUGCACAUGAUUCAUCCAUUGCACUAUUAAGAAUCCACCACAACCUUGCAUAUAUUUCUACCAUGACAUAUUGCAUAAUUUGCAUUUAAGAACUAAACUGUAACGCAUGACUCGACUACUUCAAAAUCCUGAAUCCAUUCAUUUCAUAUAAUUUGCAAUUCAAACUUAAAGUCAUAUCGCAACGAAGAACCGCUUUCAUGACACUAUGCACAUUUCAUUUAGCACAAAUAUCGACUCCCUACAAAUCAACCAUUUAUUCGAUUAACGGAAACAACGGGUCGACUUACCACAACUAAACUCAAAGCGGCGUCCACAAACACGGCGAUGGCUUUGGGUUCAGUCUUUCUAUCGGACACCUGUCAAGCCCCACCCGGAUCUCGCUUGCUUUCACCCAACAUCCGGGAUUCGCUCCACACAACCACACAUAAAUAUACACAUGAUUAAUUUCUUAUAAGCGACGCCGAGAAACAAAACACCCAAGUAAGAACAUAACCUCAUGGUCGUGCAAAAACUUGCGGUGUCACGGAUGAAGAACGAGGAUGAACUCUGGUCAAUCCUCCCGUCGAACACAUGGCGUGCGUCGUGGACAUUGGACUGCUCCGGCGUGCUGCUGCUCGCAUAGAGACAAGGAGGGAUGCUGCUGGGGAAGAAAUAGAAGCAGUGAAGGCGAAGUCGCCAUGGGGAGAGGAGUAGAGACG